UUGCAUGUGGAAAUGUCUGUUCCUAAUUCUUUUAGGAGGAGGAAUCAUAUCCAUAACAUGAUACAUUAAAAUAGGAGUUCUCAGGGGCUGCCAAUUACAGAAGAGGUUGAGUGGUAGUAUAUUUCUCCUACAUUA
rnacentral:snoRNA from 1 species